ACAGUACUGACAUGACCUUUUAUUAUUUUUCCAUUUGCUAGAUCCACCAGCAUUUCCUUCUUUAGGCAAAAAUUUCGAAUCAGCAACAUUUCCCUUAAACUGAAUCCAUUUCUUCCCUUUGCCUCCAUCAUUUUGCUUUACUUUGGCUUGCAAUGCCCCCUCAACAUGAUCUUCUCUCCUCAUUAGUCUUCUAUGCUCCUGUGCCUGCAAAGCAUUCAGCAACUCUGCAAGUUUUAUAUCGGCCAAAUCCCUUGUGUUUUCCAGAGAAGCUAUAGUAGCUUCAAAUUUUUCUGGAAGAGACACUAGGAUCUUCUGAACAAGCCUAUCAUCCCUCAAAUCAGUUCCCAAAACUCUGAUUUUAUCAGCUAUUCCCACUAGCCUAU
rnacentral:lncRNA from 1 species